rnacentral:rRNA from 1 species
CAGCCGUAAACAAUGUGCGUUAGGUGUGUCGGUAACCACGCGUUACUGAUGCGCCGAAGAGAAAUCGUGAAACGCACCACCUGGGAAGUACGGUCGCAAGGCUGAAACUUAAAGGAAUUGGCGGGGGGAGCACCACAACAGGUGGAGCCUGCGGUUUAAUUGGACUCAACGCCGGGAAGCUCACCGGAUAGGACAGCAGAAUGAUUGCCGGGCUGAAGACCCUGCAUGACUAGCUGAGAGGAGGUGCAUGGCGUA